GGGUUGUAAAGCACUUUAAGUGGGGAGGAAAGCGCUGCGUGAAUAUCGUAGUGCCGUGACGUUACCCACAGAAUAAGCACCGGCAAACUCCGUGCCAGCAGCCGCGGUAAUACGGAGGGUGCGAGCGUUAAUCGGAAUUACUGGGCGUAAAGCGCACGUAGGCGGUUCUGUAAGUGGGAUGUGAAACCCCCGGGCUUAACCUGGGACUUGCAUACCAGACUGCAAAGCUAGAGUAUGAGAGAGGGUGGUGGAAUUUCCGGUGUAGCGGUGAAAUGCGUAGAGAUCGGAAGGAACAUCAGUGGCGAAGGCGGCCACCUGGCUUAAUACUGACGCUGAGGUGCGAAAGCGUGGGGAUCAAACAGGAUUAGAUACCCUGGUAGUCCACGCCGUAAACGAUGAGAACU
rnacentral:rRNA from 1 species